CCAAGGAGUCUAACAUGUGCGCGAGUCGCUCGGUCUUGAUUAGGCCAGAGAGGCGCAAUGAAAGUAAAGCUUGUUAAGUUACGAUCCUCAUUCUGGCUAUUUCGGUAGUCAGGUGGGGCGCAGUAACAGCCCGCCAAUUCCGCUUAUUGACGGUCUGGCGGAGUUAUAGCGUACACGUUGGUACCCGAAAGAUGGUGAACUAUGCCUGGGCAAGACGAAGCCAGAGGAAACUCUGGUGGAGGUCUGUAGCGAUUCUGACGUGCAAAUCGAUCGUCAGACCUGGGUAUAGGGGCGAAAGACUAAUCGAACCAUC
rnacentral:rRNA from 1 species